AUGGUUUUGUUUCUAUGUAAACUGGACGCACAGAAUACAGUACAGUGGCAAUUUUUUUUAAAUCUUUUAUCAGCUCAAAAUUGCUGUUUAAUGCAGAGAAUGAUUGUCUUCCGAGUUUUUAGUUCUUUUUUUUUAACUGUGUUAAAGUACUUGAAAUGUAUCAACUGCUGACUAUCCUUUAAAAACAAAACAAAACCAUUUGAGUUGUAUUACAGAGGUUGACAUUGUUCGGGGAUGGGACAAAGCUUUCUUCAAUUCUUUUCAUACCACUUAAUGAUUUUGGUGCAGGCACUUGAUAUUUUCUUAUUUAUUCCGUGAUAUUUCACAUCCACCCUUCACAGCAUGAGCAUAAAGCCCAGUGGCACCAAGUGGCUGAAUACAAUCAAAUGAUAUUUUAUAGCACUUGACUGUCUGAAGAACCUUGGGAGUUUUCAAAUGAUGACUUCAUUGAGCUUCAUUGCAGCCUGAAAUAAAAAUGUUGUAUGAUAGAUGCUAACAGUCAAGUUGCAUUUUGACUGGAAAUUUUGAUAUGACCUAUUUCUUAGCUCAUUUCUCUGUGCUCUAUGGGUACAUACAAAAAUCCUGAAUUCUGUUUCCCAGGCAGAUCAUUGCAACUCAGGGCUAAAGUCAUCCAGUGAAACUUUUAGAGCCAGAAGUUAACUUUGUCCCAGUCCCACAAUGUGAAAAGAGUGAAUAGUGGCCUCUUUUUAGCCAUUUUCAUGGCUGGUACAUAUCUGUACACCUUACUUUUCAGAAUUAAUACGCACUUUCAGAUAUUCUUAUUUUUAUUCUCUUAAGUCUUUAUUAACUUUGGAGAAAUGAUGCAUCUUUUUAUUUUAAAUGAAGUAGAUCAACAUGGUGGAACAAAAUGAUAAAGAACAGAAAACAUUUCAAUAUAUUACUAAUAAUUUUUUUCCAAUAUAAAACCUAAAAUUCCUAUAAUAUUAUAGUAUUUUACAGUUUUAUGAAGCUUUCUAUUGUGACUUUUAUGGAAUUAAGAGAUGAAGAAGAUGAGAUAUUUUAGCAUUUAUAUUUUUCAAAAUUAAAUGUAUACUUAAAAUAAAGUAACUUUAUGCAUUUAUGAGUGUCUAGUGCUUCUGUUCAACUCUUCAAAUAAUUAUAAAGUGCCUAUUAUUUUACUCUUGGGUGUUAUAGGAAAUACAAAGAUUUGAAUAAAUUAGAGUCUCUGACUUCAGAUGGCUUUUUAAAACUCCACGUAGGAGGAUAAAAUAAGUGUCCAAAUUACAUGAAAUAAGAGAUUGUAAGAAUUAUCUAUUCAAGUAUUGAUGAAGUAGUAUCAUGCAAGAUGCAAGGAUUCAAAGCAAAAAAAAAAAUGUCCAACUAAGAGCAGUGGAAUAAUAACUGAUAAACAGAUAAAGUAAAUGUGGUAUAGCUAUACAAUGGAAUAUUAGUCAAUUAUCAAAAAAUGAAAUCUUGCCAUUUGCAAUAACGUGGAUGGAGCCAGAGCAUAUUAUACUAAGUGAAAUAAGUCAGAGAGAUACAGACGCCAUAUGAUCUCACACAUAUGUGGAAUUUAAGAAAGAAAACAGGUGAAAGUAUGGGAAAGGGGGAAAGAAAAAAGGAGAGAGGUUAAUAAGCCAUAACAGACUCUUAAUGAUAGAGAACAAACUGAGGGUUGAUGGAGGAAGGUGGGUGAGGGGCAGGCUAUGGUUGAAAAGUAUUAAAGAGGGUACUUGUGAUGAGCCACUAAAUAUGAGUGCUGUAUAUAAAUGAUGAACCACUGAAUUUGACUCCAGAAACCAAUAUUGCACUGUAUGUUAACUAACUAGAAUUUAAAUAAAAUUUUUGAAAACGCAAUGGGAUGUUUCAUUGAAAAAGUAGUGUUGUUAUUCUUCUUUUAUAAAGUUAGUGAAGUAUAAAAUGCCAUUUUCUUGAAACCAAGAUGAUACAUACAGUCAUGCGGGCUGUGUGGUGCAGUUGGUUAAGUGUCCCACUCUUGGUUUUGGCUCAGGUCAUGAUCUCAGGGUUGUGAGAUCGAGCUCAGCAUUAGCCUCUGUGCUCAGUGCAGAGUCUGCUUGAGAUUCUCUCUCCCUCUGCACCUCCCCCUGCUCAUGCUCUCUCUCUAUCUUGCUUGCUCUCUGUCCAAAAUAAUUAAAUCUUAGAAAAUUGCUAAGCAUUGAGCACUUGUUAAAAAGAAUUAUUCACAUGAACAAAAUCUUGGAAUGGUACUCUUCAGAAGAUACAUAACACAUACUUCUUCCUGCUGGACCUAACCAGGCUUCCAUGUAUUAUUUACAAUUCUCCAGGAAACUUCAGUUCAGCCCCAAGUUAUAAUCAGAGAAUGGUGGUUGGUUGAGGCAGGCAGGGAACAAAUGAAGGGGAUAAGAAGGAACCAUUGGUAGCAGUAAAAAGUACACUGAAAAAAAAAAAAAGGUAAUGAGACAGAGACAUUGACUAGAACAAUCUUUCAACCUGGCAAUUGAAUAUAGAGGCAAUAGCUCUGAUAGUGGUAGUGGUGUCGAAAAUGGGGUUUGGAUCUUAUUACUGAGCUGGAAGAAGCACAGAAGCCACACUCAGAAUACAUAAUAUUAUGGAAGAAUCUGAUUAAUAUUUCAAUGUACCCACAGAGAAGUCUAAAUAUUGUCAUGUAUAACAAUAACUAAGUCAAGAAAUUAGGAUCAAAUUGUAUUUAUGUUAUGGGGGAAAAAGGGGCACUUAAGCAGCUCCUCAUUAUGUAACUUCACCU
rnacentral:lncRNA from 1 species